CACGUAGGGCGCAAGCGUUGUCCGGAAUUAUUGGGCGUAAAGAGCUCGUAGGCGGUUUGUCGCGUCUGCUGUGAAAACUCGGGGCUUAACCCCGGGCCUGCAGUGGGUACGGGCAGACUAGAGUGCGGUAGGGGAGACUGGAAUUCCUGGUGUAGCGGUGAAAUGCGCAGAUAUCAGGAGGAACACCGAUGGCGAAGGCAGGUCUCUGGGCUAACACUGACGCUCAUGCACGAAAGCGUGGGGAGCAAACAGG
rnacentral:rRNA from 1 species